GCAUCCAUCAGUAGACAAAUUUUUCAGUCUUCAAGAUGACUUGGUUCAGACCAAAUUAAUUUCUCAAUCAUUGACCGAUAUUAUUCCUCAGGGAACAGCUAAUACUGAUACAAUUGCCUCUCAUUCUGUAGGGAAAAAAAAAAACUUGCAUUUGACAUAAAGCUAAGUGCAAUUACAUGGAUGGAAGCAGCUUUGGAAUCUGAUCAAAGCCACUCGUAUUUCCAUGGAAAGUACGGGUACACCGAGAAAUGAAUUGCUGAUAUGGACAAUCAACAGGAUUGGAUGAAGGGAAGUGCUUUGACUGUAUCAUCAGAAAUUGCAAAUGCCUUGAA
rnacentral:misc_RNA from 1 species